rnacentral:tRNA from 1 species
GGGGACGUGGCGAAACUGGUAGACGCAGCGGACUUAAAAUCCGCAGCCGCAAGGUGUGUGGGUUCGAGUCCCACCGUCCCCACCA